UUCUUUUUCUUUUUCUGGACUUUUUUCUAUUUUGGGAUUAGAUGUCCCAUUUUGCAAUUUUUGCACUAGUCCUGCCCAUAGGAUCCACUACACUAUCUCCCCUUCUUUUGCCCUUAAGUUCAGUUUGACCGGGACGACUCAAAUCUAGGCAAAUUUAUAAGUGAAUUCAAAUGAAUUAUUAAGCUCAAAAGGGUUUGCAAGUGAUAGAUGUAGGGUUGGUCAGUUUGGCUUUGUGGGCUAAAGAAAGAAUUUGCCUAAAUCAUUUAACACACCUAGACUAUGUACACAGGGUU
rnacentral:lncRNA from 1 species